rnacentral:rRNA from 1 species
UACGUAGGCAGCGAGCGUUGUUCGGAGUUACUGGGCGUAAAGGGUGUGUAGGCGGUUGUUUAAGUUUGGUGUGAAAUCUCCCGGCUCAACUGGGAGGGUGCGCCGAAUACUGAAUGACUUGGAGUGUGGGAGAGGUGAGUGGAAUUCCUGGUGUAGCGGUGAAAUGCGUAGAUAUCAGGAGGAACACCGGUGGUGUAGACGGCUCACUGGACCAUAACUGACGCUGAGACACGAAAGCGUGGGGAGCAAAAGGG